GACGGGGGGGGGCAAGUGUUCUUCGGAAUGACUGGGUGUAAAGGGCACGUAGGCGGUGAAUCGGGUUGAAAGUGAAAGUCGCCAAAAAAGUGGCGGAAUGCUCUCGAAACCAAUUCACUUGAGUGAGACAGAGGAGAGUGGAAUUUCGUGUGUAGGGGUGAAAUCCGUAAAUAUACGAAGGAACGCCAAAAGCGAAGGCAGCUCUCUGGGUCCCUACCGACGCUGGGGUGCGAAAGCAUGGGGGAGCGAACAGG
rnacentral:rRNA from 1 species